CUCUUUUGGGUCCUGUAAUUGGAAUGAGUACAAUUCAAAUCCCUUAACGAGGAACAAUUGGAGGGCAAGUCUGGUGCCAGCAGCCGCGGUAAUUCCAGCUCCAAUAGCGUAUAUUAAAGUUGUUGUGGUUAAAAAGCUCGUAGUAGAAGCUCGGGCUCCGGCCGACCGGUCCGCCUCACCGCGUGCACUGGUUCGGCCGGGCCUUCACCUUCUGCGGAACCGCAUCUCCUUCACUGGGGGUGUCGGGGAAACAGGACGUUUACUGUGAAAAAAUUAGAGUGCUCCAGGCAGGCCUAUGCUCGAAUAGAUUAGCAUGGAAUAAUGGAAUAGGACGUGUGGUCUUAUUUCGUUGGUUUCUAGGACCGCCGUAAUGAUUAAUAGGGACAGUCGGGGGCAUCAGUAUUCAAUCGUCAGAGGUGAAAUUCUUGGAUCGAUUGAAGACUAACUACUGCGAAAGCAUUUGCCAAGGAUGUUUUCAUUUAUCAGGAACGAAAGUUAGGGGAUCGAAGACGAUCAGAUACCGUCGUAGUCUUAACCAUAAACUAUGCCGACUAGGGAUCGGACGGUGUUAUUUCUUGACCCGUUCGGCACCUUACGAGAAAUCAAAGUGCUUGGGCUCCAGGGGGGAGUAUGGUCGCAAGGCUGAAACUUAAAGAAAUUGACGGAAGGGCACCACCAGGGGUGGAGCCUGCGUCUUAAUUUUGACUCAAGCACGGGGGAAACUCACCCAGGUCCAGACACAACAAGGAUUGAACAGGAUUGA
rnacentral:rRNA from 1 species